AUGACCAACGCAGAUAGCGAGGGCGGAAACCUCCGCCACCAGCUGGACAGCAACAAACAGGACCUGAGCCUCAGCAACCUGGAUGAAGACCCGGUCAAGGAGCUGGCUGCCCUUCCAAAGACUACCACACUGGAUCUAGUGAAACUCCAUCUCAAAAAAAUAAAUAAUGACUAUUCUCCCGUCGGAUUUCUGUGGCCUCACACACCUGGCGAAGCUAGACCUUAGAAAGAACAAGCCGCAGCACCCACCAGCAGACUUGGGCCGUUUGGUCAACCUCCAGCACCUGGCUCUCCUCAACAACAGGCUGGUCACCUUGUCGUCAGCUUUGCUCAGCUGAAGAACCUGAAGUGGCUGGACCUGAAGAAUAACCUCUGGAUCCCGGCCUGGCCAAGGUGGCAGGUGAUUGCUUGGGUGAGAAGCCAUGGAAACAGCAUGCAAACAAGGCAUCACAACACAUGAAGGCUGUACAGACAGACCACAAGUGGGAGAGGCAGCAGGGUUGGAAGUAGAACGAGAGGCAGAGAAGUAUGAGGCAAAGCAGCGAGCUAAGGAAGCUCAGGAGAGGAAAUGCGGAAGCGGGAGAAGGCAGAGGAGAAAGAGUGCCAGAGAAAGGAGUAUGAUGCCCUCAAAGCAGCCAAGCGGGAGCAGAUCAUACCUACCAAGGAAACAAAUUAGGCCCCCAAAUCUAAGUCCGAAUCCUGCCCCUGCAAGCCACUCCCCCGGAAGCACACUCGUUUCUGGGCUGUGCUGAAACUGCUGCUGCUGCUGCUUUGUGCAGCGGGGGCGCUGGUUGCUUGUCAGGUGACACAGCUACAGCAGCUGCCCCUUUGCCGAGGAGGCACCAAGAGCAAGUGAGGGCUGCUAGCACAUUGUCACCUCUCACCUUUGCACCAGCGUGAACACCAUCUGUGACAAUGUGGUCCAGGGUCUGCACCACCAUGAGAUCCUCCAGACCGACUCUCAGCAGU
rnacentral:lncRNA from 1 species